rnacentral:lncRNA from 1 species
CUGUUCUCGUUCUGUGGCUGUGCAGUUAAAUGUGAGAUGGCGUCCGGUUCGUUUGUGUUUUGACAUUUCUGAUAAACAAAACCGAUAAAUAUAAAUUUCGCGGUAGCUCACACUGGUUUUAAUUAAAAUAAUUUCGGAAUGAUCUUUAAUAAACAUGUUAUCCUUGAAUAUUGUGUUUAAAAUUCACCAAUGAAUGCAACAUCCUCUAAAACAAUAAUUACUUUCGGAAUUAGAUAAGUGCAGAUAUGAGGAUAAGAAAUUAAACACUAAAAAUAAAAGCAAAGCAAAUCCACCAUGACGAUGUCGAACAGAAUAUGUAGAAGAAUGUCGCCCAGAUGUUUCGCCUUGUCGGCAAUAGGCCUAACAGUUCUACUAUGCGUGUAUUACACCAGCUACACAUCAGAUGUAAAUCAGAGGGUGGAUCAGAGUCAACGGGCUGAAA